AAUAGAAGAGGGAUACAUGUUUAGCCUUCAGAAGUUGAACCCGACCUCGUUUUUUAGGAAAAAAGAUAAAUCUCCUGGUGUUCAUGGAACCCGGCGUCGAUUUCCUAUUUUUCUACAAAAACGCCCAACAAGUUGGGACGGUCUUGGUAUCCUGUAUUAGCACAUUGAAAAUUGAAUAACGAUAUCAAAUAGUAACAAGAAAAUAAACCGAAAACGCUGUGAAUAUUAAUGAGUAUAUGACUGAGAGGUCAAAGAUAAGGUUAAGUUAGUAAGGGCGCACGGUGGAUGCCUUGGCACUAGGAGCCGAAGAAGGACGUGACAAACGACGAAAUGCCUUGGGGAGCUGUAAGUAAGCGUAGAUCCAGGG
rnacentral:rRNA from 1 species